rnacentral:rRNA from 1 species
UACAGAGGUCUCAAGCGUUGUUCGGAUUCAUUGGGCGUAAAGGGCGCGUAGGCGGCCACGACAAGUCACUUGUGAAAUCUCCGGGCUUAACUCGGAACGGUCAAGUGAUACUGUCGGGCUAGAGUACAGAAGGGGCAACUGGAAUUCUCGGUGUAGCGGUGAAAUGCGUAGAUAUCGAGAGGAACACCUGCGGCGAAGGCGGGUUGCUGGGCUGAUACUGACGCUGAUGCGCGAAAGCCAGGGGAGCGAACGGG